GGAGAAGUGGCAGAGUGGUCGAAUGCACUGGUCUUGAAAACCAGCGAGGGUCACACCUCCAGGGGGGGUUCGAAUCCCUUCUUCUCCG
rnacentral:tRNA from 1 species